GGGGCAAUAGCUCAGUUGGUUAGAGCAACGGACUCAUAACCCGUCGGUCCCUGGUUCAAGUCCAGGUUGCCCCA
rnacentral:tRNA from 1 species